CGCCAGACUCCUACGGGAGGCAGCAGUGGGGAAUAUUGCACAAUGGGGGAAACCCUGAUGCAGCGACGCCGCGUGAGUGAAGAAGUAUUUCGGUAUGUAAAGCUCUAUCAGCAGGGAAGAAAAUGACGGUACCUGAUUAAGAAGCCCCGGCUAACUACGUGCCAGCAGCCGCGGUAAUACGUAGGGGGCAAGCGUUAUCCGGAUUUACUGGGUGUAAAGGGAGCGUAGACGGUGAUGCAAGUCAGAAGUGAAAGCCCGGGGCUCAACUCCGGGACUGCUUUUGAAACUGUGUAACUGGAGUGCAGGAGAGGUAAGCGGAAUUCCUGGUGUAGCGGUGAAAUGCGUAGAUAUCAGGAGGAACACCAGUGGCGAAGGCGGCUUACUGGACUGUAACUGACGUUGAGGCUCGAAAGCGUGGGGAGCAAACAGGAUUAGAUACCCGCGUAAG
rnacentral:rRNA from 1 species